GGAUGAUGAUGAGGGCAAUUUUUGAGCAUAGCCUUGAAUCUUUUCCAAGGUUGGUAAAGAUUAUGUCUAUCUUUCUGCCUGAAACUCAGAAUCUCACUUCUCAAAUA
rfam:Capsicum annuum cultivar Zunla-1 chromosome 11, whole genome shotgun sequence